rnacentral:rRNA from 1 species
CCAGGAGACAGGUGCUGCAUUGGCUGUCGUCAGCUCGUGUCGUGAGAUGUUGGGUUAAGUCCCGCAACGAGCGCAACCCUUGUCUUUAAUUGCCAUCAUUCAGUUGGGCACUUUAAAGAGACUGCCGGUGUUUAAACCGGAGGAAGGUGGGAUGACGUCAAGUCCUCAUGGCCUUUAUGCCCAGGGCUACGCACGUGCUACAAUGGGUGGUACAAAGAGAUGCAAUCUCGCAAGAGCAAGCAAACCUCAAAAAGCCAUCCUCAGUUCGGAUUGGAGUCUGCAACUCGACUCCAUGAAGUCGGAAUCGCUAGUAAUCGCGGAUCAGCACGCCGCGGUGAAUACGUUCCCGGGCCUU